rnacentral:ncRNA from 2 species
UGAAACCACAAGGGGAGCUGUAUUGGCUGAGAGUGAACAAUUUGUUCUAACCCUUAUAACCUGUUAGGUAGUACUAGCGUAGGGAUGUGGCUUUCGUGAUGG